ACCUGGCUGGCUCAGUCAGUAGAGCAUGCAACUCUUGAUUUUGGGAUGGUGAGUUCAAGCCUCAUGUUGGGCA
rnacentral:tRNA from 1 species